CAAUGCCCUUGGAAAUCCCAAAC
rnacentral:miRNA from 1 species